ensembl:lncRNA LINC00499 long intergenic non-protein coding RNA 499
AAGUCUCUGCAGCGUUGUAGUGAAGAGAGAAUACGGGACAACUGCAGGACCACAGCUCAGCCAAGACACAACCACAUGACUGAAGACAGAGAUCAUCUGGGUCAGUGUUUCAGAAAAUGUUGCCAAGAAACUUCAAAUGCAGAUUCCUGGACCUCCGUGCAAACUACUAUAUUAGAAACAUUCGUGACCGGGCGCAGCGGCUCACACCUAUAAUCCCAGCGCUUUGGGAGGCCGAGGCGGGUGGAUCACGAGGUCAAGAAAUUGAGACCAUCCUGGCCAACAUGGUGAAACCCCGUCUCUACUAAAAAUACAAAAGUUAGCUGGGCAUGGUGGUGUGUGCUUGUAGUCCCAGCUACUCGGGAGGCUGAGGCAAGAGAAUUGCUUGAACCCGGGAAGCAGAGGUUGCAGUGAGCCAAGAUCACGCCACUGCACUCCAGCCUGGUGAUGAAGCGAGACUCCAUCUCAAAAAGAAAAAAAACAAAACAAAAACAUUCGUGUGCAUGUGUCUUUAUGGUAGAAUGAUUUUAACCCUUCGAGAAAUCACCAUACUGCUUUCCACAAUGGUUAAACUAACUUACAUUCCCACCAACAAUGUACAAGUGUUUCCUUUCCUCUGUAACCUUGUCAGCAACAGUUACUUUUUGACUUUUUAUCAACAGCCAUUCUGACUUGUGUGAGGUGGUUUUGAUUUGCAUUUCUCUAAUGUCAGUGAUAUUGAGCCUUUUUUCAAUGCUUGUUGACCACAUGUAUGUCUUUUAUUAAAAAAAA